rnacentral:rRNA from 1 species
CAUCUCCUUAAUCGGAGAGUUCCCUUCGGGGACAUUGGUGACAGGUGGUGCAUGGUUGUCGUCAGCUCGUGUCGUGAGAUGUUGGGUUAAGUCCCGCAACGAGCGCAACCCUUGUCUUUAGUUGCCAGCAUUAAGUUGGGCACUCUAGAGAGACUGCCAGGGAUAACCUGGAGGAAGGUGGGGAUGACGUCAAAUCAUCAUGCCCCUUAUGCUUAGGGCUACACACGUGCUACAAUGGGUAGUACAGAGGGUUGC